rnacentral:rRNA from 1 species
CGCGUGUACUGGUCCGGCCGGGCCUUUCCUUCUGGAGAGCCCCAUGCCCUUCACUGGGCGUGCGGGGGAACCAGGACUUUUACUUUGAAAAAAUUAGAGUGUUCAAAGCAGGCCUUUGCUCGAAUACGUUAGCAUGGAAUAAUAGAAUAGGACGUGCGAUCCUAUUUUGUUGGUUUCUAGGACCGCCGUAAUGAUUAAUAGGGACAGUCGGGGGCAUCAGUAUUCAAUUGUCAGAGGUGAAAUUCUUGGAUUUAUUGAAGACUAACUACUGCGAAAGCGUUUGCCAAGGAUGUUUUCAUUAAUCAGUGAACGAAAGUUAGGGGAUCGAAGACGAUCAGAUACCGUCGUAGUCUUAACCGUAAACUAUGCCGACUAGGGAUCGGGCGAUGUUUUUAUCUUGACUCGCUCGGCACCUUACGAGAAAUCAAAGUUUUUGGGUUCUGGGGGGAGUAUGGUCGCAAGGCUGAGACUUAAAGAAAUUGACGGAAGGGCACCACCAGGCGUGGAGCCUGCGGCUUAAUUUGACUCAACACGGGGAAACUCACCAGGUCCAGAUGAAAUAAGGAUUGACAGAUUGAGAGCUCUUUCAUGAUCUUUCAGGUGGUGGUGCAUGGCCGUUCUUAGUUGGUGGAGUAAUUUGUCUGCUUAAUUGCGAUAACGAACGAGACCUUAACCUGCUAAAUAGCCAGGCUAGCUUUGGCUGGUCGCCGGCUUCUUAGAGGGACUAUCGG